GCAGAAACAUAUGUAUGUGAAACAAGAAUAUAUGUGUGUGUGAGAGUAGAAAUAUAUGUAAGUGAAAGGAGAAUGUAAGUGUGUGAGAGC